UACGUAGGGUGCAAGCGUUGUCCGGAAUUAUUGGGCGUAAAGGGCGCGCAGGCGGCCCGGAAAGUCGGAUGUGAAAACUCGGGGCUCAACCCCGAGCGUGCACCCGAUACUGCCGGGCUUGAGGCAGGUAGGGGAGAUCGGAAUUCCUGGUGUAGCGGUGAAAUGCGCAGAUAUCAGGAGGAACACCGGUGGCGAAGGCGGAUCUCUGGGCCUGUCCUGACGCUGAGGCGCGAAAGCUAGGGGAGCGAACAGG
rnacentral:rRNA from 1 species